rnacentral:rRNA from 3 species
GCAUAUCAAUAAGCGGAGGAAAAGAAACCAACAGGGAUUGCCCCAGUAACGGCGAGUGAAGCGGCAACAGCUCAAAUUUGAAAUCUGGCCCCAGGCCCGAGUUGUAAUUUGCAGAGGAUGCUUUUGGCGCGGUGCCUUCCGAGUUCCCUGGAACGGGACGCCAUAGAGGGUGAGAGCCCCGUACGGUUGGACACCAAGCCUUUGUAAAGCUCCUUCGACGAGUCGAGUAGUUUGGGAAUGCUGCUCUAAAUGGGAGGUACAUUUCUUCUAAAGCUAAAUAUUGGCCAGAGACCGAUAGCGCACAAGUAGAGUGAUCGAAAGAUGAAAAGCACUUUGAAAAGAGGGUUAAACAGCACGUGAAAUUGUUAAAAGGGAAGCGCUUGUGACCAGACUUGCGUCCGGUGAAUCACCCAGCUCUCGCGGCUGGGGCACUUCGCCGGCACAGGCCAGCAUCAGCUUGCCGUCGGGGACAAAAGCUUCAGGAACGUGGCUCCUCUCGGGGAGUGUUAUAGCCUGUUGCAUAAUACCCUUCGGCGGGCUGAGGUACGCGCUCCGCAAGGAUGCUGGCGUAAUGGUCAUCAGCGACCCGUCUUGAAACACGGACCAAGGAGUCAACCUUAUGUGCGAGUGUUUGGGUGUCAAACCCCUACGCGUAAUGAAAGUGAACGCAGGUGAGAGCUUCGGCGCAUCAUCGACCGAUCCUGAUGUUCUCGGAUGGAUUUGAGUAAGAGCAUAUAGGGUUGGACCCGAAAGAAGGUGAACUAUGCGUGUGUAGGGUGAAGCCAGAGGAAACUCUGGUGGAGGCUCGCAGCGGUUCUGACGUGCAAAUCGAUCGUCAAACAUGCGCAUGGGGGCGAAAGACUAAUCGAACCUUCUAGUAGCUGGUUUCCGCCGAAG